GCAAGCUUGAGAUGCUAGGAAUUCAGCUGUGGAAGUUCAGCUCUCAAGAAGCUCACAUCUAGGGUGCGGAGUUAGAGAAAUCAGACCGGCACAUGAUACAGAAGGGACUAGGUGCUAUGGAGAGACGUGAGCUGGGGAGGGGAUAGCCUGUGUUGGGGUGGAGGCUGCUGCUUUAGAGAGAUGAGGGAAGGCCACUGGAAUCUGAUGCUGAGCAGAGAUCAGGGAUUUUAUAUAAGGGAAGUGAGGGAGUGAGUCGUGGCCACCUGAGGAGAGCAUUCCAGGAUAAGGAAACAGCAGGUGCAAAGGCACUGCUGCAGGGAGGUGCUUGGUAUAUCCAGGGAGUGUGGAGAAGUCCCGUGUGGUGGCUGCAGAGGGAGCAGGGGGAGGAUGGUGGGAGGUGAGAAUGGAGACCUCUGAGGUAGGUCCUCGAGAGCCUUAGAGGCCACGCGAAUUGCAUGGGACCCACUGGAGGGAGCCAUUCCCAGAGCCAUGACAGGUUGGGACCUGCCUGCAAAGGACCACAUUCUGGCCGUGGGGAAGGGCAGAAGCAGGAGACCAAUUUGGAGGCUGGGACCUGGGGCCUGGGGCCUAGGACAGGCAUGGUGAGCAGUGGUCAGUUUCUGAAUCCAUUCUCAGGGUAGACACAAUAGGACUGGUGAUUGAUUGAAUAUGAGAUGUGAGACAAAGACAAAUGCCAAGGACGGCUCCAAGGGUUUUUCCUGAACAGCUGCCAGGAUGAAGUUGGCAUUUAUUUAGGUGGAGGAAGAAAGGAAGGAGCAGGUUUGGGAGCUGGAGAUAGAGAUUCGUUUUUGAAAGUGUUAAUUUGAGAUGUUCAAUUAGACACAGAGUGGAGAUGCCAAAUAGACAAUUAUACAGGAGUCUGGUGCUGAGUGUUGAGGUCUGGGAUGGAGACAUCACCCUGAGGGUCCUUGGCAUUUAAAUGCUGUUUAAAACCAGGAGGCUAGAUGAGCUCACCAAGGGAGAGGGAAGGGAUAGAAGAGGGAGAGGGUCUGAGGACUCAGCCCUGGAGCAUAGAUAAUUAACAGGCAGAUGGGGAGAAACUGGGAGAGGGGACUGAGAAGGAACAGCAGGCAAGAGAAAGAGGGCUAAGGGAGAGCCAUGACCUACAAUCAGGUCAAGAAGCAUUUCUACAGGAGAGAUUUAUGCUGCCGAUCUUCCAAUAGAUCAAGUAGCGUGGAGACCACUGAGACCCAGCCACUGGAGACCAUUAGCCUAGGGAGGUCAUUGGUGUCCUUGCCAAGCCCUGUUUUGGUUCUGGGUCCAGGAGACAGAGUGUAGUCAGAGGAGAGGAAUCACAGACAGCCCAGUGCAGACAACAGGCAACUCUUUCAAGGAGUCAUCUUAUAAAGACUGAAGCUGAGAGGCUUUUUUCCCAGUCAUCUUGACCACAAGAUCAGUUCUCUCCGUGAACAUAAAGACAAAAUCGCUGUGACACCAACAGACAGAUUUUUUAACAAGUGGAAUCCAUGUCUCAUGUAAACAAUGUGCUACUGCCUGCCAUUGAGUUCUCUUCCCUCGUUUUCCUUUUUGAAGACUUAACCCCUUUCCCAAAGGGACAUGUGCUCAGGUUUCUUGACUCCACAGCAAUCCCUUCUGUUGUGUAAGGCAAACUGAUCACCUUUCACAACGAGACAAGAAGUGAUUUAAAUCAGAUGGUGACCCAAUGACAAUGUCUGUGCUGUGUCCUAUGGAGAAAACCAAAGCUGAAAUCCAGUAACAGGUGAUAGGAAGAUGUGGAGAUAGAAACUGACCUGAAUUCUGAAAAACAACAAGAGAAAAGGAAGUCUGAGAACAAGCUGGUGUUCUUCCAAAACCUGUUCAUUGUGUGAAUUCCUAGAAGAUAGCGUGACACCGAGAAACAGGCUGGAGUGACACACCCAAACAAUUAUGCUACCUGGAUCUGCCAAGGCAGGAGGACAAACUCAGCAGCCUGGAGAAUGGAGGACACAGUCCAGAGUUGUUCUUCUCACCUGAAGAACGUUGGGAAGACCUUAAUUGGAAUCACAAGAAUUGGGUGUAAACUUUGGCUCCACAUUCACUAUCUGUGGGACAUUCAUUAUCUGUGGGCUUCAUCUGUAAAUGGGUGGGCUGUCUUUGGGUAGGUCACCCAGUUGAAACAAUGGACUCCAAGGGUUUUAUUACCUCCUAAGUGUUGAAUAGGAUUAUUGUGUGUCUCCUUGACUUAAUUAGUCCAAUUUUCUACCUCAGGUAGCACAACCAUCACUUCUCAAUUUCGUAUUCUAUUUCUUUUAGGAAGAGUCAAUGCUCAAGAUCUGUGAGAAACUGAAGCAUGUUUGCCUGUUUUUCUCAAUAUAUGCACGUUCUGUAUAUCUCAGUUCUAAAGAACUAAAGGUAAACUCUAAUACGAGCAGUAGGAAAUGGCCAGAUAGGAGGAAUGUGCACAGUGACCUUGGGCAAAUGUCUGAAUUCUAAGGCCUUGUUUUCCUCCUCCACAACACGAGUAAAUCAGUUUCAAUAAUCUGUUAGGUCCCUUCUGUGUCAGCUUGGAAGUCCCUGCUGGAGGUAAAGGGUGACACUGUUCAAUGCACUGAGAACAGCCAGGAAGAAGCUCAAAUGUGUAAGAAUAGAAAAGGAAGGUUAUGGCCUUUUUACUUGAUUCCACAAUGCAAAGGUAAACAGUCAUGAGAAAGAAAAGAGGUUUAAAAGAAAACAAUAGUGACCUAUCUGCUUUCCCUUUUGGUAAAGUAACUUUCGUAGGGCUGCUUACCAUGCUGUAUAUAUAUUUUUAUUCUUUCUGCCCGUUAUUUACAUACUCAUUCAACAUAUAUUUAUUGAGAAGUUGCAGAGUUCUGCUGACUGUCUCAUCUUCCAUCUUCUAAAGCAAAACAACAACAACAACAACACACAGUUGUGCUAGUUUUUUGGCUUACCUCCUUACAAGGUCAUACUGCUAAAACCCUCACUCUGGCAUGACUAAUCUGACACAUAGUUUGCCUUUGUUCUCCAGAGGUCUAAUGAACAGCUCCCUGUACACCACCAGGUACAGUCUACACUCUUUGAGCUGGCCUUGAGCCCCUUGCCAUCUGAGCUGCCUCCCUUGUUCCUAUUUUAGCUUCCUGCAUGCCCAGGCAGCAAGUGACUUGGCUCCACAAACAGCCUGUUGCUAUGAUCUGCUUCUUCCUCUCAUUCAAACCCUCGAGGCCUCGGGAGGUAGUGUAGCAUGAUGUUAAGAGCAAAGCUGUGAAGUCAGUGAAAGAUGGGUUUUACCUGAAAUCCCAUCAUUAACUGGUUUUGAAAACUCUGCCAAGUUUCCUAAGCCCUCUGAUGUAUGAAAAGACGAUGAUAACCACUUUGCUGAAUUGUCUUAAGGCUAAAAGGAGAUAAAUUAUGUAACUUGUUUGCUUUGAAAAUGGAUUGAUAUUUGCUCAUGAAAUCUCCUUCAGGCGCAUGUCAUGAACCCUAUUCGUGCAGUCCAACUUCUACUCAACUUUCAAAGUUGGGGUUUCAUGCCAUUUUUAUCAUGAAAUGUCCAAAAGCAUGUGCCCCCUCAGUUGGACUCUCUGUUAUGGCCCAUAUUACGUUUUAUCAUGUAUUUUAGAUAUCUAUGUUGUUAGUAUAUGGAAAGUAAACAUCUUAUUUAUCUUUAUUUUGUCACAAAGCCUGGCACAGUUGAUUGCCUAUUUGGUAUGUAGUAGUAAAAAAAUUCUUAUGAAAUGAAUUAGUGAAUGAAUAUACAAUGUAUUAAUAAAUGAUUUUGCUAGUGGUAAAUAUUCCUAUACAUAAGGAGCUAAAGGGGGCAUGCCAGCUGAUCAAUCUUUCUGAAAUAAAACCUUUUGAAAGUCUUUCUCCAGUAAGAUAUUUGAGCUCAUAUAACUGACAAGAGUAUUAGGAUAUAAAAUAUAUAAAAAUCAUAUGACUCAAUAAGAAAAAAACUAAUUAUAAAAAGGGGCAGAGGGCAGGAACAGGAGAUUUCAUAGAAAAUAAAACCCAAAUGGCCAAUAAAUAUAUGAAAUGUUGUUCCACCUUACUAGUAAUUAUAGAAAUGAAAACUAAAAUAAUAAGAGAACAUUUCAUAAAUUGAACACUUUGGAAGUACUUAGUAGUGGUAAGGAUGUAAGAAAUGAGCAUUCAAAAAUUCAGGUUUCAAAUUGAUCAUAGUAGAUUCCUACAAGUAAAUACAAAAAUGCAUGAGAAUAAUGAAUCUGAUCUACCUGUACCAACAGGAAUAAAUUCAGAAAACAACAGAAAAUGAUAAAGGUUACUUGCAGAAGUAUAGAACAGUAUGAUGGUAUUUCUAUAUGGCAUCAACCCAUACACACACAUACACACACACA
rnacentral:lncRNA from 1 species